UGCAAGUCGAGCGGACAGAUGGGAGCUUGCUCCCUGAUGUUAGCGGCGGACGGGUGAGUAACACGUGGGUAACCUGCCUGUAAGACUGGGAUAACUCCGGGAAACCGGGGCUAAUACCGGAUGGUUGUUUGAACCGCAUGGUUCAAACAUAAAAGGUGGCUUCGGCUACCACUUACAGAUGGACCCGCGGCGCAUUAGCUAGUUGGUGAGGUAACGGCUCACCAAGGCAACGAUGCGUAGCCGACCUGAGAGGGUGAUCGGCCACACUGGGACUGAGACACGGCCCAGACUCCUACGGGAGGCAGCAGUAGGGAAUCUUCCGCAAUGGACGAAAGUCUGACGGAGCAACGCCGCGUGAGUGAUGAAGGUUUUCGGAUCGUAAAGCUCUGUUGUUAGGGAAGAACAAGUACCGUUCGAAUAGGGCGGUACCUUGACGGUACCUAACCAGAAAGCCACGGCUAACUACGUGCCAGCAGCCGCGGUAAUACGUAGGUGGCAAGCGUUGUCCGGAAUUAUUGGGCGUAAAGGGCUCGCAGGCGGUUUCUUAAGUCUGAUGUGAAAGCCCCCGGCUCAACCGGGGAGGGUCAUUGGAAACUGGGGAACUUGAGUGCAGAAGAGGAGAGUGGAAUUCCACGU
rnacentral:rRNA from 1 species